AUAGAUGGAUUGUGGAGUAAACCUGUCUUAGAAUGUGUGUUAACAGGAAAACGAACACACUUAAAAGUUUUGUAUUUAGAAAAAAUAGCAAUGCGAUUGAUGAAUUACAAUGUGUUGAUGCAUUCUCUGUCAACAAUUUCAAGAGGAAAUUUGUUGUAUCAAUUUUAAGUUUUGGGUUUGUCUUUUUCUUUUUUAGGCUAACACUAGUGAAAUUUUCUAUUGUCUUUUUCUUUUUUAGAUUUUCUAUUUUCUAUUCCAUGGGAAUUGGAGGUUCUGCUCUUGGACCACAUUUUGUUGCAGAAGCAUUGGCACCUGAUAAUCCUCCACUCAAGAUAAGAUUUGUGGACAACACGGAUCCUGCUGGAGUUGAUCAUCAGAUUGCACAGCUUGGGUUGGAGCUAGCUUCAACACUUGUGAUUGUGAUUUCAAAGAGUGGAGGUACCCCAGAGACUAGAAAUGGUUUAUUGGAAGUGCAGAAGGCCUUUCGUGAAGCAGGCUUGGAUCUUCCAAAACAGGGUGUUGCUAUUACACAAGAAAAUUCUUUGUUGGAUAACACUGCCAGAAUUGAGGGCUGGUUAGCUAGACUUCCUAUGUUUGAUUGGGUGGGAGGUAGAACGUCAGAGAUGUCUGCAGUUGGCCUGCUUCCAGCAGCCCUUCAGGGCAUUGAUAUUAUAGAAAUGCUUGCCGGUGCAUCAUUGAUGGAUGAGGCUAAUAGAAGUACUGCGUUAAGGAGUAAUCCUGCAGUUCUGCUGGCUUUAUGUUGGUAUUGGGCUACAGAUGGUUUAGGAUCCAAGGAUAUGGCUAUUCUUCCAUACAAGGACAGCCUGUUAUUAUUCAGUAGAUACUUGCAGCAGCUGGUCAUGGAAUCUCUAGGCAAGGUGUUUGACUUGGAUGGUAAUCGCCUUAAUCAAGGAAUUAGUGUCUAUGGAAACAAAGGAAGCACAGAUCAACAUGCCUGAGUUUUCAUACUAGUUUUUUUAAAUAUAGUUUAUUGAUUAAUGUCUGGUAAACCUUUACCCCCUUGCAGCUAUAUUCAACAAUUGAGGGAAGGUGUACACAAUUUCUUUGUGACAUUCAUUGAGGUGCUACGUGAUAGACCCCCCCGGUCAUGAUUGGGAACUUGAACCUGGUGUCACAUGCGGUGACUACUUGUUUGGUAUGCUACAGGGAACAAGGUCGGCUUUGUAUGCCAAUAACCGAGAGUCCAUCACAGUUACUGUACAAGAAGUGACACCAAGAACAGUUGGUGCUCUUAUUGGGCUCUAUGAACGAGCAGUAGGAAUUUAUGCUUCCCUUGUCAACAUAAAUGCUUAUCAUCAACCUGGUUUAGGCAAUAUGGCUUGUGGGAGAGGUAUGCUGAAUUGUAUCCAAAUGAAGACCUAGUUUACACUGUUGGCAUUAGUGACUACAGAAAAGAUUGGUUCUUUGCACAGGUUAACAGGAAGAAAGACAAUGGCACUGACAUAGGAACCACAUGGCAAAUUAAUUUCAAGCUUGAUAGUGUGAAUACCAACUGAACCUACACACUGCGAGUGGCUCUGGCAUCUGUGCAUUCUGCUGAAUUAGAGAUUCGGAUAAACAAUUUAGAAGCAAAUCCACCUUUAUUUUCAAGUGGAGUGAUUGGAAAGGAGAAUACUAUAGCUAGACAUGGAAUUCACGGUCUCUACUGGCUAUUCAGCAUUGAUGUACAAGGCACUCUUCUUGUGCAGGGGAACAAUACCAUCUUUCUAACACAAACAAGAGACACUAGUCCUUUAAUAGGAAUUAUGUAUGACUAUAUUCGUUUAGAAUACAAACGGUGAAGAUCAAAAUUAACGUUUAUAAUUAUACAAACGGUGAAUAUCAUUGGAAAAGUAAUUAUUUGAUCAACAGAUUGAUUUCAAAAGUAAUUAUACCACAUUUCCUAAAUGGAUGCCGGAUGUACAUUUUUGGAUAUACAAAUAUCAGUAUUCUUUAUAGAUUGCUCAACUCUUUGAUCAGCAUGUAACUUGAUACCAUGUAAGUGUAUUCAGUAAAAGACUUUGUACUUUUGACUC